GUAAACACAUAUCAAAAUGUUGGGUUGCAUAAAAUUUUCAAUUUUUCUUAUCAUUUUUAUGGAAUUGGAUUUUUCUUUGCAGGAUGUAAGUUGUGACAUAAAGAAUCGAACAAACUCUUGCCCGGAUGGAUUUUGUUGCGUCAGAGACCAAUUUCUACCCCAGUACGUAUACUGCAAGAAGAUCGGUCAACUAGGAUCUCAUUGUCGACAUAUUCCAGAUGAAUCUGUGUGUAACUGUGACACUGGACUUACAUGUGUUCCAAACUUAGACGUUCCUACUUUCGUUUCUAUCUAUGGGAUGUGUCAUAAUUUAACAACAAAAGCAACAUAAUUAAGAAAAAAUAGGCUUCAAAUACAUGUUGGGAUCUUACAAUAAUUGUUAAAAAUUAUACACAUAAAUGUA